rnacentral:rRNA from 1 species
AGUGAUGCCUCUAGUAAUGGCGAAUGAAACAGGCAGAGUCCAGCACUGAACCACUGGUAUCCUACCAUGUGGAAUGUAGUGUUUGAGAGUGCCUCAUCACUUGACUUUGAUCAGCCCAAGUGCACCUUGACUGGGACCAUAGCCCAUAGAGGGUGAUAGGCCCGUAAGGCGGUCAUUGUCUUGUGCUGGCAUCUUCUCUAGAGUCGAGUUGCUUGGGAGUGCAGCUCAAAGCGCGAGGUAAACUCCUCGUAAGACUAAAUAUUGUCCCAAGUCCGAUAGCGAACAAGUACCGUGAGGGAAAGUUGAAAAGGACUUUGAAGAGAGAGUUCAAGAGUACGUGAAACUGCAUAGUGGUAAACAGAGGCGUUCUCGAAGUUUGGAGUGAUGAUUCAGGUCUUUGACGCGAGUCAAUGGCUGUAUUUCGUCACGUCUGUACACAACGGGCCAUUGACUUUGAUCAUGGCUGGUGAGAGAUGUAGUUCUCUGCCAUGUUCGCUUUCAUAGUCGAUGGUCGUAUCUUACCCGCUCAUGAGUGGGUAAGUGAUGUUGUGAGUAGGUCGGCGGCGUCUCUGACCCGUCUUGAAACACGGACCAAGGAGUCUAACCUGUGUGCAAGUCGCAGAGUGGACUAAACUCUAGGGCACAGUGAAAGCAAAGGAUAUCAUUGGAUGUCUGAAGGACGAGCGCAGCUCUAUUUGAGUUGCGUGCAGUCCUGGCGUUUUGCAUUGACACGUCUCAAGCAGAACAGCUAGAGCACACAUGUUGGGA